GACGAACGCUGGCGGCGUGCCUAAUACAUGCAAGUAGAACGCUGAAGAGAGGAGCUUACUCUUCUUGGAUGAGUUGCGAACGGGUGAGUAACGCGUAGGUAACCUGCCUUGUAGCGGGGGAUAACUAUUGGAAACGAUAGCUAAUACCGCAUAACAAUGGAUGACACAUGUCAUUUAUUUGAAAGGGGCAAUUGCUCCACUACAAGAUGGACCUGCGUUGUAUUAGCUAGUAGGUGAGGUAAUGGCUCACCUAGGCGACGAUACAUAGCCGACCUGAGAGGGUGAUCGGCCCAACUGGGACUGAGACCAGGCCCAGACUCCUACGGGAGGCAGCAGUAGGGAAUCUUCGGCAAUGGGGGCAACCCUGACCGAGCAACGCCGCGUGAGUGAAGAAGGUUUUCGGAUCGUAAAGCUCUGUUGUAAGUCAAGAACGGGUGUGAGAGUGGAAAGUUCACACUGUGACGGUAGCUUACCAGAAAGGGACGGCUAACUACGUG
rnacentral:rRNA from 1 species